CAGUAGAAGACAUGAUUUCAUUCUGUAUAUAUAUUACAGUAUAGUGCAUUUUCUUUCCAAUCAAAGCCCUCUGAAAGGCAUAAUGUAUAAUAUGUGCUCAAGAUUAGAAAGGUUUUUUUUUAAGGCAAUACCAUAAAAGAUACAAUCAAAUUUAUACCUGCAAGAAGAAGAGAGAAAAAACCCUAAAAAAUAAACCAAAAUAAGUUGAUGUAUGUCUUCCAUGUUUUUAUAUAAAACUGUAUCUGAAUUGUAAGUACAUAAGUAAAAUUUGCAACAAUUAACGAUCACAGAAAGUUAAAAGAGAUAUAACUUUCUGAGCUUGUUAAAUAUUGUGGAAUUGUUUUUUGUAACACGAUUGGGCAAUGACACUGGGCUGUUGCAUGCAGAAGUGUUUGGGCAAAGAUGCUGGGCUGUUAAUGUAGUGGUGUUUGGGCAAUGAUACUGGGCUGUUUUGUUGCGUGUAUAAGUAUUUUGGCGAUGACAUAGAGCUGGUUUUCUAUUUAGGUGUGGUCAGUUGUACAAAAUAAUGUACAGAAUUUGCUUGUUGUAUAUAACACUUGGACAAAAGACAAGACACAAAUAAAAGAAGUCCAGGAUGUUCAGAAAACUUAUGCUAAUGUUGGUGGUAUUUGUUUGAAAUUGACAAUAAUCACUGUUCUAUGAGGUGAAUUUAUUUCAAACCAUUGAAACCCUAUAGAUGUUUAUUACAAUUUUACUUCACUCUCAGGAGUGUAAUAGCGACUAAUAGGCAUUAUAGUUAAAUACUACUGUCUGCAUCUAGAAGAGUUAGGCUAGGUACAAGACAGAUUGUACUGUAAUCAUUAUCCUUUAUAGAGGAAAAAUCACCUGCUUUUGAUAAGAGUGAGAGGAUUUUGAUAGGAUAUUGAUCUAUUACAUAAAAGCAAUAACCUGUGUCUGCUACAUUGUAUAGUUAGAUCUACUGGAAAUAUUAACAGUUAGGUUCUAGGAUAAACCUGUCAAGGAGAAAGUUUUGGUGGACUUGAUUAGCGGGGUCUAUUGUUAUCAUUGUAGGGGUUACCCAAGCUACCCAACCCAUUUUACAACUGAUUUCGUAGCCUUUUGUGUAACUGUGAAAUAACACAAAAACCUGCAGAGAGAAUGUGUGAAUGAAGGCGAGAGUGAAACUAUGUAUAACCCAACAAGGGAGAUAAAAAGAGUAUAUCACACACGCUGGCCAGGGUGUCAGUUAGGUGGGAUGGCUAAUGACUCAGUUAUCAGUAAUAUCCCAAUUAUAUCAUUGGUAGGCAAUUUCGGAGAUAUAUGUAUCUGUCGUUAUGCUUGGCAGUUGGCACUGAUGUCACUUAAUGUGCACCGGAGCCAAAACAGGAUACAGUAUAACUAAACAGGGAUGGUCAGAAUACACGAUUCUUAAAUGUACUCACAAUGUUUCAUAGUCGUAGCAGAAUCCCUAGAUACAUGGAGUACCUUGGGUGGUCAUUGAUAAUAUAAUUAGAUUUGCUGAUCAAUUUUAAAUGAGUUGCCCAAUUCAAUUUGAUUUGGUUCCUGUAACAUGGAAUUUACAUGAUUGAAUUAGUAUAUUGUAUGACGAGUGCUGUUGCGAGUACACUCUCCUGUCGGUCAUCUUUGGAGUAUUUAUGAUAUGCAUUGAAUCCCUGUGCACUGAUUAGUGGUGACAGACCCUUAUUUACCUAGCACAUUUGGAGUUACAGCUUCUGAAAUGCUGGUACUUAAUUACAAAUGCUGAGGAGACAUUGGAAGCAUUGCUGAGAGACCAGAGAAGGUCCUAUGAUGUGUGAGGAAGGAAUUUGCAGGGUGAACACCCGAAGUUAAUGGACAUGUGUACAUUGAUUGGGGAACAGUUUAUCCGAUUGUAUUCUGAAUCUCCCUGUUCACAGUAAACACAGGGAUGGAGAGCGGGACAAACAGUCGCAGGUCCGUAAACUACGGAGAACUGGGACGCUGCCGUGCUGUGUAGUCUUACUGGCGUUUUACGUUUGACCCCACGGAAGUGAUCCUGGUUGUGUAGUCACAACAUGGCUGUUCAAGUUUACAGUGACUUAGAAAUAAUUGUUUGAUUUUUCCUGUACUUUAAAAACUUUGUAAAACAUGGGGUUUCUAAAUUCAUUGUUUAUGGGAAGUUGUCAUUUUUGUUACUUCUACAAGAUUAUGUAAGGAGUGAAAUCAAGACCUAUUUAUUUAUUCAAGUUAUCAGAAUACUGAAUAAAUCUAGUCUGUUUAGCAGAGAUAUGAUAUCAGAAUCAGUUAGGUCAUGUUUAAAGGUUGAGUCGUUAGGUGUGCUUUCUUCAGGUAAUGGUACAGAACACCUGUCGGUAGAGGGCACCUGAUUGGCCAGCUCCGAUUUACAGUUGUACUUACUUCAGGGCUCUGCACAUGGUGUGUUUCAAAAUAAAAAAGAAGAUAGAUCACUUGAUCUAUUAUGCAGAAUUAUCUUUGUCUGUGUAACAUGUGAUUGACAUUUCAAGUUCACAAGAAAAUAAAGGCAACUUUGAUUGAUUACCAAAAAAAUUUGCUUCUGAAAAUGUUUGCCAUUUUUUUCGCUUAACUUUACGAGACUCCAAGCCGAUUAAAAAUUUUUUUUUAUCUACACAUUCUAUCUAAUAUUUAUACAUCCUACAAUAUAUAUGCUCUUGAUGUAUGUAAUGUAUGCUGAUAUAGUAUUAAUGAGGUAUUAAAAAGAGAAAACAGAA